rnacentral:misc_RNA from 1 species
ACAGCUGUUAUUUACAGGUUUUGAUAGGGUUCGUUACACGAUACAUUGUUAUUUACAAGCAAAUCUGGAGUUGCGGGUAUAACAGAUGUUACAACCACUAUGAAACGGUAACGGCCUUUAUUUACUAUUAUGUAACGGUAAUGACUGUUACUUCCUCUAUUGCAAUCACAAGGAAACAGUGUUAUUUUUGCUUCUCUUUUAUUUGUUUGCGCAUUCUCUCUUCCACAACUGCUAUA